GGCUUCAUGGUCUAGUGGUAUGAUUCUCGCUGAAAGUACCCCCAUUCAAAAUAAUUAUUUGUACGAACAUCAAACUAAUACCUUCCACAGUUGGGUCGCAGUUUCUGCAAUCUUGCGAGAGGCCCCGCGUUCGAAUCGCGGUGGAGCCC